UACAGAGGGGGCAAGCGUUGUUCGGAAUUACUGGGCGUAAAGCGUGCGCAGGCGGUCUGCUAAGAGAGAUGUGAAAUCCCCGGGCUUAACCUGGGAACUGCGUUUCUAACUGGCAGGCUUGAGUGUGGCAGAGGGGGGUGGAAUGCCGCGUGUAGCAGUGAAAUGCGUAGAGAUGCGGCGGAACACCGAUGGCGAAGGCAGCCCCCUGGGCUGAGAUUGACGCUCAGGCACGAAAGCGUGGGGAGCAAACAGG
rnacentral:rRNA from 1 species